rnacentral:rRNA from 1 species
AGUGAACGCUGGCGGCGUGCCUAAUACAUGCAAGUCGAACGAACGAAUAAGACCUUGCCCUUAUAAGUUAGUGGCGCGCGGGUGUGUAAUAUAUAGCUAAUCUGCCUCUUAGUGGAGGAUAACAGUCGGAAACGAUUGCUAAUACUCUAUACUUCUGCUUGACAUAGGGAAAGCAGAGAAAGUUUUUCGCUCAGAGAUGAGGCUGUACUGUAUCAGCUAGUUGGUAAGGUAACGGCGGACCAAGGCUAUGACGCAUAACUGGUCUGAGAGGAUGCGCAGUAGCAUUGGAAGGGAGGCACGGUCCAGGCUCCUUCGGGAGAGAGCAGUAGGGUAUACUGCGCAAGCGGCGUGUGUCUGACGCAGCAUCGGAGCGUAGAGGAUGACACGUUGCGGGGCGUAAAAUCCUGUUAUCGGCAAAGUAUAAUGACGUUACCCGCUGAAUAAGCACCGGCUAACUCCGUG